GACGAACCGUGCGAACGUUGUUCGGAAUCACUGGGCUUAAAGGGCGCGUAGGCGGGUCAUCAAGUCCGGGGUGAAAUCUUUCGGCUUAACCGGAAAAUAGCCUUGGAUACUGGUGGUCUCGAGCGAGGUAGGGGCAGCUGGAACUUCCGGUGGAGCGGUGAAAUGCGUUGAUAUCGGAAGGAACGCCGGUGGCGAAAGCGAGCUGCUGGACCUUUUCUGACGCUGAGGCGCGAAAGCCAGGGGAGCAAACGGG
rnacentral:rRNA from 1 species